rnacentral:lncRNA from 1 species
ACGGAAAGUGUCAGGAUCUUGGGGAUCGUAUUGUAUAAAAUGGAUGAAAACAGAGCUAUUGGGUUUGAAGCACUCCUGAACCCUCUCAUGGAACCCUAUGUCUUCCUGGAGUCUACAGAGCUAUUGGGUUUGAAGCACUCCUGAACCGUCUAGUAGAACCCUAUGUCUUCCUGGAGUCUACAGAGCUAUUGGGUUUGAAGCACUCCUGAACCGUCUAGUAGAACCCUAUGUCUUCCUGGAGUUUACAGAAAAAGAGACUCAGGGAUUUUCCCAAAGCACACUGCAAGUUAGGGGCAGGAAUGACAGCCCAGACCUUCUGGUUUCCAGUCCAGGGCUCAACUGCCUAAACAGUGGCAUCUCUUCAGGCAGGCCCUGUCAGAGGCAGAUUAGGGGACUUGUCCAAAGUUACUCAACUAUGAAGAGUCAAGAUUCAAAUCCAGAGACAUCUGACUUCAUUUCCCUUCAUUAACAACCAU